rnacentral:rRNA from 1 species
CGGGUGAGUAAUGCGUGACCAACCUGCCCCAUGCUCCAGAAUAGCUCUUGGAAACGGGUGGUAAUGCUGGAUGCUCCAACUUGACGCAUGUCUUGUUGGGAAAGUGUUUAGUGGCAUGGGAUGGGGUCGCGUCCUAUCAGCUUGUAGGCGGGGUAAUGGCCCACCUAGGCUUCGACGGGUAGCCGGCCUGAGAGGGCGGACGGCCACAUUGGGACUGAGAUACGGCCCAGACUCCUACGGGAGGCCAGCAGGU